GGCCACAUCAUGUUGAAACACCAUUUUCCAUAUGAUCACUGAAGUUAAGCAACAUCAAGCCCGGUCAGUAUCUAGAUGGGUGAUUGCUCAGGAAUAUCAGGUGCUGUAAG